GGGUUGUAAACUGCCUUUAUAUGUGACGAUUAUGACGGUAGCAUAUGAAUAAGGAUCGGCUAACUCCGUGCCAGCAGCCGCGGUCAUACGGAGGAUCCAAGCGUUAUCCGGAAUUACUGGGCGUAAAGAGUUGCGUAGGUGGCAUAGUAAGCAGAUAGUGAAAGCGUGGGGCUCAACCUCAUAUCCAUUAUUUGAACUGCUAAGCUAGAGGGCGAGAGAGGUUACUAGAAUUCCUUGUGUAGGAGUGAAAUCCGUAGAUAUAAGGAGGAAUACCGAUGGCGUAGGCAGGUAACUGGCUCGUCCCUGACACUAAGGCACGAAAGCGUGGGGAGCGACCGGGAUUAGAUACCCCGUUAGUCCACGCCGUAAACGAUGGAUGCUAGCUGUUAUGAGUAUCGACCCUCGUAGUAGCGAAGCUAACGCGUUAAGCAUCCCGCCUGUGGAGUACGAGCGCAAGCUUAAAACAUAAAGGAAUUGACGGGGACCCGCACAAGCGGUGGAGUGUGUUCUUUAAUUCGAUGGUAAGCGAAGAACCUUACCCAGGUUUGACAUCCUUGGAAUUUCUCCGAAAGGAGAGAGUGCUUUAUUGAGCCAAGUGACAGGUGUUGCAUGGCCGUCGUCAGCUCGUGUCGUGAGAUGUUUGGUUAAGUCCAUCAACGAGCGCAACCCUUGUGAUUAGUUGGAUUUUUCUAAUCAGACUGCCCUGGCAACAGGGAGGAAGGGGGGGAUGAUGUCAGGUCAGUAUUACCCUUACACCUGGGGCUAGAAACACACUACAAUGGCCGGUACAAAGGGCUGCCAAGCUGCAAAGCGGAGCAAAUCCCAUCAAAGCCGGUCUCAGUUCGGAUAGCAGGCUGAAACUCGCCUGC
rnacentral:rRNA from 1 species